rnacentral:rRNA from 1 species
UAGCAUAUCAAUAAGCGGAGGAAAAGAAACCAACAGGGAUUACCUCACUAACGGCGAGUGAAGCGGUAAGAGCUCAAAUUUGAAAGCUGGCUCCUUCGGGGUCCGCAUUGUAAUUUGCAGAGGAUGUUUCGGGAGCAGCCCCCAUCUAAGUGUCCUGGAACGGACCGUCAUAGAGGGUGAGAAUCCCGUAUGGGAUGGGGUGUCUGCGCCCAUGUGAAACUCCUUCGACGAGUCGAGUUGUUUGGGAAUGCAGCUCUAAAUGGGUGGUAAAUUUCAUCUAAAGCUAAAUAUUGGCCGGAGACCGAUAGCGCACAAGUAGAGUGAUCGAAAGAUGAAAAGCACUUUGAAAAGAGAGUUAAAAAGCACGUGAAAUUGUUGAAAGGGAAGCGCUUGCGAUCAGACUCGCCUUGGGGGUUCAGCCGGCAUUCGUGCCGGUGUACUUCCCCCAGGGCGGGCCAGCGUCGGUUUGGGUGGCCGGUCAAAGGCCCUUGGAAUGUAACGCCUCUCGGGGCGUCUUAUAGCCAAGGGUGCCAUGCGGCCUACCUGGACCGAGGAACGCGCUUCGGCUCGGACGCUGGCAUAAUGGUCGUAAGCGACCCGUCUUGAAACACGGACCAAGGAGUCUAACAUCUACGCGAGUGUUCGGGUGUCAAACCCGUGCGCGCAGUGAAAGCGAACGGAGGUGGGAACCCUUUGGGUGCACCAUCGACCGAUCCUGAUGUCUUCGGAUGGAUUUGAGUAAGAGCGUAGCUGUUGGGACCCGAAAGAUGGUGAACUAUGCCUGAAUAGGGCGAAGCCAGAGGAAACUCUGGUGGAGGCUCGCAGCGGUUCCUGACGUGCAAACCCAUCGUCGAAUUUGGGUAUAGGGGCGAAAGACUAAUCGAACCAUCUAGUAGCUGGUUCCUGCGA